GGACCUCUAGGGUUUUCCAGCUUUAGCCUCAAUCAGAAGUUCAAGGCCAUGUACAAAAUCUGCCCAGUGACACGUCGUGUUCUGCUUGAAUUCCUCCGGGGACAUGGGGCUUACAGCCUUCUGACAGACCUGCUCUUUGAACCUUGCCCCAGGAGAAAACAUGAAAAGAACUGAGGAUCUUUAAGCUGGAAAACAGAAAUUCCUGGGACCCUAAGGCACCCACUGUCUGGGAAGCAGGUUUGGGAGCAACAUGAUGAGAACUUUAACAUGAGACUGAACUCAUUUCAGCUUGGCCCACUCUUGAAUUCUCCGUAGAUCAAAGCAGCUUAACCAAGAAUGUCAGAAAGCAAGCAUUUUCUGAAUUAACAAGAACCACCACCACAAUCUUUCAAGAAGAAGAAGAAGAAGAAGAAGAAGAAGAAGAAGAAGAAGAAGAA